AGCCAGCGCUGCCCCAGCCCUCGCCUCCCAGGGGGCUGGUGCCGGGGGCUCCAAGGUCUCAUCCUGCUUAUGCUCUGCAGGUGCUGCUGGAAAAGGAGCCCAUGGACAGCUUGCGCACAGAAUUCCGGCAGAAGGCCAUGGAGACUGUCACCGUCCUCAGCAACACCGUGCCGACAGCACUGCAUGGCAAAAAGGAGAGUCUCCUGAACGUGUGCUGCAAGAGCGUCUUCUUUCUGCCUCCCGAGUCGGACAUGCCAGAGACAGAAAGAGUGCUCUACACCAAGACUAUGAAAGCCAUGGACACCAUGCUGGAGGACUUCGUAUUCAACUAUCCCAUCGCCAGUUUCAACACAGAGAUGCAGAAUAUGUUGAAGGUGAUGCUGGACUUUGCUGGCUCCAAAAACCCAGCUGUGCGUGAGAGAGCUGUGAAGGUGAUUGGGAGGCUGAUUACUUUCAUCCGCUGGUAUUUGGUGAUCAAGAUCUUAGGGAACUUUGAAAACUAUGGCAACGAUGAGCCCACGGAUUUCAACCUGUGCAUCCCCAUCCUG
rnacentral:lncRNA from 1 species